UUUCUCUUAUGUGCUCUCAUUGGUGCUAUGAUCUGGUGACCUGGCCAUGAUCAAACCCGCCUCUCAUCCGGUGACUGUUGGAGAUGGGCACUAGUCCCCCCGACUCCCCAAGACCCUGCAAGGAUAAUGUAUGUAUAACUUGAAAUUUGUCUCCCUCAAGUCCACUCUUAAAAGUUAAAGCCAGCAUCAACUGAUUUUAUGAUAUUAGCAACUAUAUUUUCUGCUUUUAUCAUAUACACAAAUAAGGCACCCAGAAAUGUUUUUUUUACCUUCACCAUCAUCACAGCAGUUCAGAUGAUGCAAUAUACAUAGUGAAUCCACAACGUCCUAAAAUAGUUUCUGUAACAAGCCGUUGUCAAGUGAACGGGAAUGUUCCGUCAUGGAUCCUCGGUGUUCUUAGGAUGACAGUUUGUCUGGAGUAACACUGGAAAACUGUGACGUUGAAUUAAAACUAGAUUCUUUUCUUGAUUAAAUAUUUUCCACCUUUUCUCUGAAGUGAUUUUUUUCAUUGUGCAAAUUUUUUGAUCUUAUUAUCUGUAAACUUUUAA